CUGGGUUAUCUAAACCACCCUGGACAACACCUCAGUAAACAUCACUCUUGUAUAAGGUACUUUCUCCACUCUCUUAACUCCUGGAAGUGCUCGUGUUUGGACUCCUAAGAUCUGCUAUACCCUCCUGCCAAAUCCUGCCUUGGGUUCCCCCCUGGGUUAUCUAAACCACCCUGGACAACACCUCAGUAAACAUCACUCUUGUAUAAGGUACUUUCUCCACUCUCUUAACUCCUGGAAGUGCUCGUGUUUGGACUCCUAAGAUCUGCCAUACCCUCCCGCCAAAUCCUGCCUUGGGUUUCCCCUGGGUUAUCUAAACCACCCUGGACAACACCUCAGUAAACAUCACUCUUGUAUAAGGUACUUUCUCCACUCUCUUAACUCCUGGAAGUGCUCGUGUUUGGACUCCUAAGAUCUGCCAUACCCUCCCGCCAAAUCCUGCCUUGGGUUUCCCCUGGGUUAUCUAAACCACCCUGGACAACACCUCAGUAAACAUCACUCUUGUAUAAGGUACUUUCUCCACUCUCUUAACUCCUGGAAGUGCUCGUGUUUGGACUCCUAAGAUCUGCCAUACCCUCCCGCCAAAUCCUGCCUUGGGUUUCCCCUGGGUUAUCUAAACCACCCUGGACAACACCUCAGUAAACAUCACUCUUGUAUAAGGUACUUUCUCCACUCUCUUAACUCCUGGAAGUGCUCGUGUUUGGACUCCUAAGAUCUGCCAUACCCUCCCGCCAAAUCCUGCCUUGGGUUUCCCCUGGGUUAUCUAAACCACCCUGGACAACACCUCAGUAAACAUCACUGUAUGUCACAGUGUUUUGAUUUUUAUCAAGAGUAUUUCUUAUGCUAGUA